UGGGGAAUUUUGGACAAUGGGCGAAAGCCUGAUCCAGCAAUGCCGCGUGUGUGAAGAAGGCCUUCGGGUUGUAAAGCACUUUUGUCCGGAAAGAAAUCCUUGGCUCUAAUACAGUCGGGGGAUGACGGUACCGGAAGAAUAAGCACCGGCUAACUACGUGCCAGCAGCCGCGGUAAUACGUAGGGUGCAAGCGUUAAUCGGAAUUACUGGGCGUAAAGCGUGCGCAGGCGGUUUGCUAAGACCGAUGUGAAAUCCCCGGGCUCAACCUGGGAACUGCAUUGGUGACUGGCAGGCUAGAGUAUGGCAGAGGGGGGUAGAAUUCCACGUGUAGCAGUGAAAUGCGUAGAGAUGUGGAGGAAUACCGAUGGCGAAGGCAGCCCCCCUGGGCCAAUACUGACGCUCAUGCACGAAAGCGUGGGGGAGCAAAACAGGAUUAGAUACCCUGGUAGUCCACGCCCUAAAACGAUGUCAACUGUUGUUGGGGAUUCAUUUCCUUAGUAACGUAGCUAACGCGUGAAGUUGACCGCCUGGGGAGUACGUCGCAAGAUUAAAACUCAAAUGAAUUGACGGGGU
rnacentral:rRNA from 1 species